AACGAACGCUGGCGGCAUGCCUAACACAUGCAAGUCGAGCGAGGACUUCGGUCCUAGCGGCGGACGGGUGAGUAACGCGUGGGAACGUGCCCUUUGCUUCGGAAUAGCCCUGGGAAACUGGGAGUAAUACCAGAUGAGCCCUUUGGGGGAAAGAGUUAUCGGCGAAGGAUCGGCCCGCGUUGGAUUAGGUAGUUGGUGGGGUAAUGGCCUACCAAGCCGACGAUCCAUAGCUGGUGUGAGAGGAUGAUCAUCCACACUGGGACUGAGACACGGCCCAGACUGCUACGGGAGGCAGCAGUGGGGACUCUUAGACGAGGGGGGAAAACCUGAUCUAGCCAUGCCGGGUGAGAGAUGAAGGCCUUAGGGUUGUAAAGCUCUUUCAGAUGGGAAGAUAAUGACGGUAACAGCAGAAGAAGCACCGGCUAACUACGUG
rnacentral:rRNA from 1 species